rnacentral:rRNA from 1 species
ACCGGGGGAACUGAAACAUCUAAGUACCCCGAGGAAAAGAAAUCAACCGAGAUUCCGAAAGUAGCGGCGAGCGAAAUUGGACUAGCCCUUAAGCUUUACACGCGUUAGACGAACGGUCUGGAAAGUCCGACGAUACAGGGUGAUAGUCCCGUAGUUGACGACGUGUGUUCAGUGAAAUCGAGUAGGGCGGGACACGUGAUAUCCUGUCUGAAUAUGGGGGGACCAUCCUCCAAGGCUAAAUACUACUGACUGACCGAUAGUGAACCAGUACCGUGAGGGAAAGGCGAAAAGAACCCCUGUGAGGGGAGUGAAAUAGAACCUGAAACCGUGUAC